UGGGGAAUAUUGCACAAUGGGCGCAAGCCUGAUGCAGCCAUGCCGCGUGUAUGAAGAAGGCCUUCGGGUUGUAAAGUACUUUCAGCGGGGAGGAAGGUGUUGAGGUUAAUAACCUCAGCAAUUGACGUUACCCGCAGAAGAAGCACCGGCUAACUCCGUGCCAGCAGCCGCGGUAAUACGGAGGGUGCAAGCGUUAAUCGGAAUUACUGGGCGUAAAGCGCACGCAGGCGGUCUGUCAAGUCGGAUGUGAAAUCCCCGGGCUCAACCUGGGAACUGCAUUCGAAACUGGCAGGCUAGAGUCUUGUAGAGGGGGGUAGAAUUCCAGGUGUAGCGGUGAAAUGCGUAGAGAUCUGGAGGAAUACCGGUGGCGAAGGCGGCCCCCUGGACAAAGACUGACGCUCAGGUGCGUAAGCGUGGGGAGCAAACA
rnacentral:rRNA from 1 species